rnacentral:rRNA from 1 species
UUUCCGGUUGAUCCUGCCAGAGGCCAUUGCUAUCAGGGUUUGACUAAGCCAUGCGAGUCGAGAGGUGUAAGACCUCGGCAUACUGCUCAGUAACACGUGGUUAACCUGCCCUAAGGUGGAGAAUACUCCCGGGAAACUGGGGCUAAUGCUCCAUAGUGGAUAUGUCCUGGAAUGGUAUAUCCUCGAAAGAUCCGUCGCCUUAGGAUGGGACUGCGUCCGAUUAGGUUGUUGGCGGGGUAACGGCCCACCAAGCCAUUGAUCGGUACGGGUUGUGGGAGCAAGAUCCCGGAGAUGGAUUCUGAGACAUGAAUCCAGGCCCUACGGGGCGCAGCAGGCGCGCAAACUUUACAAUGCGAGCAAUCGUGAUAAGGAAACCCUGAGUGCCUGUCGAUGCAGGCUGUUCAUAUAUCUAAAUCAUAUGUGAAGAAAGGGCAGGGCAAGACCGGUGCCAGCCGCCGCGGUAAUACCGGCUGCUCGAGUGAUGGCCACUAUUACUGGGUUUAAAGCGUCCGUAGCUUGACUGUUAGGUCUCUUGGGAAAUCUUCACGCUCAACGUGAAGGCGUCUAAGAGAUACCGGCAGUCUUGGAACUGGGAGAGGUAAACCGUACUUCGGGGGUAGGGAGUGAAAUCUUUGUAAUCCUCGAGGGACGACCUAUGGCGAAGGCAGUUUACCAGAACAGCUUCGACAGUGAGGGACGAAAGCUGGGGGAGCAAACGGGAUUAGAUACCCCGGUAGUCCCAGCCGUAACAAUGUGCGUUAGUGUGUCGGUAACCCCGUGUUACUGAUGCGCCGAAGAGAAAUCGUGAACGCACCACCUGGGAAGUACAGUCGCAAGGCUGAACUUAAAGAAUAGGCGGGGGGAG